ACACAUGCAAGUCGAACGGCAGCGCGGACUUCGGUCUGGCGGCGAGUGGCGAACGGGUGAGUAAUGUAUCGGAACGUGCCCAGUAGCGGGGGAUAACUACGCGAAAGCGUGGCUAAUACCGCAUACGCCCUACGGGGGAAAGCGGGGGACCUUCGGGCCUCGCACUAUUGGAGCGGCCGAUAUCGGAUUAGCUAGUUGGUGGGGUAAAGGCCUACCAAGGCAACGAUCCGUAGCUGGUUUGAGAGGACGACCAGCCACACUGGGACUGAGACACGGCCCAGACUCCUACGGGAGGCAGCAGUGGGGAAUUUUGGACAAUGGGGGCAACCCUGAUCCAGCCAUCCCGCGUGUGCGAUGAAGGCCUUCGGGUUGUAAAGCACUUUUGGCAGGAAAGAAACGGCCCUGGAUAAUACCUGGGGUCACUGACGGUACCUGCAGAAUAAGCACCGGCUAACUACGUGCCAGCAGCCGCGGUAAUACGUAGGGUGCAAGCGUUAAUCGGAAUUACUGGGCGUAAAGCGUGCGCAGGCGGUUCGGAAAGAAAGAUGUGAAAUCCCAGAGCUUAACUUUGGAACUGCAUUUUUAACUACCGGGCUAGAGUGUGUCAGAGGGAGGUGGAAUUCCGCGUGUAGCAGUGAAAUGCGUAGAUAUGCGGAGGAACACCGAUGGCGAAGGCAGCCUCCUGGGAUAACACUGACGCUCAUGCACG
rnacentral:rRNA from 1 species